AGUGAACGCUGGCGGUAGGCCUAACACAUGCAAGUCGAACGGGAGCUUCGUAAGAGCUUGCUCUUACGGGUGGCGAGUGGCGGACGGGUGCGGAAUACAUCGGAAUCUACUUUUUCGUGGGGGAUAAUGUCGGGAAACUUACGCUAAUACCGCAUACGACCUAUGGGUGUAAGCAGGCGUUUUUUGGACCUUUUGGGAUUGUAUGAGCCGAUGUCGGCUUAGCUAGUUGGCGGGGUAAAGGCCCAGCACGGCGACGAUCCGUAGCUGGUCUGAGAGGAUGAUCAGCCACACUGGAACUGAGGCAGAGUCCAGACUCCGACGGGAGGCAGCAGUGGAGAAUAUUGGACAAUGGGCGCAAGCCUGAUCCAGCCAUACCGCGUGAGUGAAGAAGGACUUCGGGUUGUAAAGCCCUUUUGUUGGGAAAGAAAAGCAGCAGGUUAAUACCCCACUGUUCUGACGGUACCCAAAGAAUAAGCACCGGCUAACUUCGUG
rnacentral:rRNA from 1 species